CUGCAUCUGGACACACCCUGUACGACGUGAGGGUAAUUGAAUUGCUGGAGUCAGGAGCAACAUGUAUUAAUGCCUGGUCAUUGUAGAUACUAGAAACUCUCCAGAAAUCUUUGCAUGGACAAGUAACUCAGUGCCCCCAUUUCAUUAACUGGAUGGGGAUCACCAACAAGGGCUUGCUCACCUUCCCUUUCCCAUUACCAAAUGGAUUGCCAGCUCCCAUUUUAUUCCCUCCCUGGUAGUGUCCCAUUCUUAGAAAUCCAACCCAAUGAUUCAAAAGCACCAGUGCAGCACACCCCCUGAUUUCACAGGAUGAUUUUCAAUAGCCCAGCACAGGAUAUUAACAUCCUAUCUAUAAAUAUCACUUAUUCAUUUUUACUGGUAAAAACACUAACAUAUUACUUAAGAAACCAUUUUAAAAAUUACAUUCCCAGAUAACUCUCACUGAGUAUGGGCUGAUCUAUUUUUUUUCUUUUAAGCAGCUUUGGAAGCAGAAUGAUUCGUAUCAACACUGUUUUCCAGUAUACAACUUUCAUCACUGCCAAACACUUUUUCAAGAAACAUUUCAACUUAAAACUGUCCUGAAUCUUUGCCAUUGGAGCUAAUCCCUUAAGGGAAGAGGCUGAGCCAAACUAAUGCAGUUUUUACUUUGAAGCACUAAUGAGUGAUGAUUAAAGGAUAAGUUUGAUCUAUACAUCCCCUGGAACUGCAUCUGCUAAUGCCCGAGGAUAGACUGCAAGCAAACCACGAGGGAUGAGCAUUCACAAUGCAGAACCCAGCAAGCACUGUUUGGAACAGGUUCUUUGCCAACACAGCCCUGGAAGGUGUCAUCUGUGCUAACCCGCUGAAGCAGAUCAGCUACCUGAGGAUCCUAAGUCUGCAGCAAAGAAAUAUGCUGAGCUGCACUGUGGCAGCCCUGCCAUGCCCUGUAUCAGGAGGUGUGAGCUGGAGGAAACUGACACAUUCCAGUACAUAAUGGCAGGAUCCAACUUCAAGAAAUAGUUCAGGGGUAUUGCUGAAUCGUCCAUCAAGUCACCUAAGUUUAAAUCUAAAGGAAAUUCACAAGAUGCUUUCCCUCAACACUGUUUCUGACUGUCCUGCUAAGGUCCCCUGCAGAGAGACAUCUCCGUUCAUUACACACCACACAAGAGCUUUCUCGUAUCAGAAAACAAGGGAAGGAAUCAGCCUGCCUGGUUGCCUUCAAAAGACUUUUUUGCUCAUUCAUUGUAUUUUAAAUAAACAAACAACUUGUCCAUUAAGCAUUUCCCCCUUGUGGCUUCCUGGACCUCAAUUUUCCUCCCCAUCUCCUCUCACACAGCACACCCUUGAGUUGUGUUGUUAUUGUAGCCAGGGCAGCAUAAGCCCAACCAAGACCCAAAAUGCCCCCCUGCCACCUCCGCACUCAAACCCUCCAUCUACGCUUGCUUGCUGUACCUCCCAGGGAUGUUCAUGUCAAAGAUUGUCAUUCUGUGCUUACUUGUCCUGGUUGCAAAAGACUCCCAAAAUAGCAGUUGAGUGACAGAAUUCUGCAAAAAGCAGCAUUUUCAUGAUUUUUGUUUGCAGACUGUAGGCCAUUAAUAAUUCUCUCUGCAGUUACCCCCACAUGGAUUAGCAUUUCACCCUGGGUGAGGCUGGACCACCCAUAGCUGGAGAGUGGUAAAGUGACUGCACAGCAACCUGCACAACUGAAGGCCAGGAGGAAAUAAAGGCUGACACUGAAUCCUCUUCACACAUCACCUGGGCAAUAGAGAAAAGGCCUGGGCUCUGGCUAAUUUAUGAAUCAUUCCCUCCUAGCACAUAAACCACCCACUUAUGCGGCAGAAAAAGAGUACAUGUGUGCGUCACUGCUUGGAGAAGCAAUGCAAGCAGAAACCUCACCCACUCUGACAGAUUUCUAAAAGAAAAGAGGGGAGAGCAGAGAAAGCCACCACAAAUGAAGCCACCCAUAUGCUGGUCCAAAGCCCCAGGGUAUUCCAAGAUAAUGGACUUCUACCAGUUUCUGUUGAUUUUGAAGAAAAUUUGAGAAUAUUGGAAAAAAUCUUCAAGGACUGUAAGAGAACAGCCAUUACCAGAACAAACCCACUCUGAUGAAUAUUUUAACCACAGUUUCUCCACUUAAGAGGAAACCAAUCUCUCAGAUCACUAAGAAUCAAACAGGCAAUUUUCAUGACUGAUACUAAAUAAAAAAUUUCGUUAUCUACCAAUAAAUGUUUACCAUAGCUGAGUACAGGUUGUUUAGCUUUAACCAACAUAAGCCUGGCAACAUCUUUCUAAAAACACAGUGAACAAAACCAAUCCACCAUGUAAGAAGAAAGAGCCUCUCCUCUAUCUGCUAUAUUUUUGAUUAAGCUUCAGUUCAUAGUGAGGUAGGGCGUAGGUCUGUGCCUCUGCAGAUACAGGGAUAUUGUUCAUUGUGCUUACAGCAUGUUUUAUUAAAAACAUGAAUGAAGAUUUGUUCCCCUGAAGUUCUAGCUUGCUAACAGCUCUGGGAAAUGGAUGAAUGACAGCAUCAAAUCCCAUCAGCCCUGAAAUUUAGGAUGACAACAACUUGCCU